CCACUACGCUAACAUUUUAUGAAGAUAAGAUGAAGAUCAUUAAAGAGUUUAAACCAUUAAUUGCUGAAAAAUUUAGUUAAGAUAAUUCCAAGACUUUGUUAUGGCUAUUGAUGAAUUUCAACAUCAAGAAACUUGUAAAUUAAAAUAUGACGAGAAAUUUGUAUACUUUGCAGCUUGUUACAGAUGUUAUUUGAAUGGUGCAUGAAGGGAGACCAUAUUAGGGAGGUUAUUAUGCAACAAUACUUAAAAUGUCCAUAUCUAAAGUCAUUGAUGUUGUGCACUACAUUUUGAAGCAUAGUUUUAAAUGCCACU
rnacentral:lncRNA from 1 species